AUGGCAUCGAUGUGGGUGAUGUUGAUGGGUCGGCAGAGGUACGACUCCCAGUGGAAGGAGGUGAGGAUCAUCAAUGGCUACGCCGUGCUCGUCGUGUAUGUCUUCGACGCCAUCAGAGGGGUCGGCUACCUGGUGGUCAUGUGGGCCACAGUGGUGCUCCUCGGCGGCUUCGUCUCCAUGAUCGACAAGGUGGAUUUCGGGAGGCUGACGCUGAUCACCCUCAUAGAGCUGCUCUGGAUAAACGCCUCAUUCCUUGAAAGGAUAAGAUCUGCUGCUGACCUAUUGUCGAGCUUGAAGGCAGUGAAAAACCUGCUGACACGCAGCUGGCAGCUGGGCGAUAACGCGUGCAACCAUCACCUGGAGCCGCGAGGCAUCAAACGAGCUGUGCUGGCACUACUUGUGGCGGCGAGAUGGGCUCUGGCGCUGGUUCACAGUGUGGUGUUGAGCUUCUGCAUUGCUUCUGUGAUGUGUCUCUUGCUAUUUGGACUGUUGAUCACCACUUUGAUUUCGAUACUCGGUCUAAUAAGAGAUGACCAUUACGGCGACACGGCAGAGGGCAGAGCAAACAUGGACCCGGCACACAAUAUCCUGUAUGUCCUGUGUCUAGCCCAAGGUGCCUUGUUUGUCUAUAGAAUCGCCCUGUUCCUCUCGAGGGAGAGGAUAGUGAAGAAAGUGAGCCGAGCAUACGGCUUCCAAGAUGGUGGCCAUGCAGUUUCAUGCUACUUGGAUGAGAUCAGGAAGGGAUACUCCAAGAAGAUAUUAUCCGCCAGAGAACGAAACCUUAUCACAUAUGCUAUCGAGCUCAUGGAGUCCAAGUCGCCCCGUAGCUGCCUUUCUGGGGCGCUGAUACUGGACAGACUACUCACCCGGAAGCAUCCAAACGAGAUCAAAGCUCCUGAUUUGACGGCAAGGGCAGAAGAAAAACAGCAUCAACCAUCAUCCUUGUCGGAAAAGGAUAUGAAGAAUAAGGAGCAGAGGAAAAAGAAGAGGGAGGAGAUGAGGAAGAAGAGGGGUGAGUGGAGGAAGAAGAGGCAGCAGAAUCAGCAAACAGAUGAGGAGAUCAUCGCGGUGCAGCGCAGGAUGAUAAGGCGGCUGAUCGGGUCCGCAGCCUCCACACACAUUCUCCAGAAACUGCUUCAUACGCUGGAUUCGAGGCGCCCAUUUGACAAACGGAUGAGGGAGGCUGCCGCGAGGAUAGUAGAGCACGUUGCCAGCGGUAUCCGGUUGGUCCAGUUCCCACGAGGGAUCCAAUGCAUAUCUUCACUGCUCAACUGCUUAGAAGAAUACUACCGACUCCAGCCAUAUCGAUCAUCAUCGUCAUCCUCCUCCGCACCGAACACAAACAGAGACACUACAAGGACUCCGCCGCCGUCAAAAGCAAACAAUGGUCAUGAUCAGGGACAAGACAGCAGCAUCCACACUUCGACACUGGAGUCAGAGUUAGAGUACUCAGAGUCGGAAUCAGAAUCAGAUUCAGAGUCAGAUUCAGAUUCAGACAGGAGGAUCGACCGGUCAUCAUCAUCUAAGAUGCUCCAUGGCUACAAAGAGCUGGUUCUAAUUGGCCUGAAUAUCCUAUGGAGCCUCGCAGGCAGCGAGGACAACUGUGCAAUCAUAAGCAAAGCCAAAUAUCCUGUCUCAAAGAUCAUGGCGCCUGUUAGCUACGACCUAGUGCACCACGCAGGUCAUAGUGAUUGGUCCGCUAAGGUAGUAGAGAGAUCAUUGGCGGUGAUGCUUCGGCUGAUUCUGACUGCGAAGAGAGAAACUGCGACAGACCUGCUUCAACAGAUGUCAGAGGAUAAGGAAGCAAUCACCACCAUGAAAACAAUUGUUACCUGUGAAGAAUGUAAAGGAGGAGAACUGCAGAUGAAGGCCAUGCAGAUCCUCGUGCAACUAUGCAUGGAAGAAACUGCAGACAGAGUAAAUCUCACUAAGAUGCUCUUAGGAAUCUUCGUUAAUGUUGAUAGCAGUGACUCCAUCAGAGAGACUACGGUUAAAGCACUGGUUGUGUUGUUUCUUGGCAGAAAAAGCAUUGCCCCCCUCAUCCCCAAGGAGGAGAAUGAUGGGUUUGUCCGUGGUCUCACCAAAAUACUAGUGGGGGACGAUGACACAUGCAGAAAAAGUGCAGCAGAAAUUCUGGAGCAUCUAUGUAUCCAUUAUGCUGAGAAUGUUGAAUCUGUUAGUACACUCAAGAAUGCCAUGAUGGGAGUGAUGCCAAAGGUGCUCGAAGAAAUACUACUUGGUUGUGAGUCAACAGGGGAAGAAGGAAUUCCCGAAUCUACGAGAUCAGGUGGUGAUGUCGAAAGCCAAGUCACUGAGGACAACGUUAAGAAGAAGAACAACAGUACUUCUUCCCGUCCCAGGCAGAAGAAACACCACAAGCUGCAUGUUGCUCUGCUAUCCCUCUGUGUGACAGCAUGUGACAAACUAGACCUUGAUCUCGACUCAAUUUCGCAGGGAGAAGGAAGAGAUCGAGCUAGAGAUCCCGGAGAAUGCGUCGCGAUCAGCCUUGCUACGAAGAUGGUACAGUUAAACAGGGAUCUCCUGACCGCGGAAAGCCUCACAGCGAUGAAACUUACCACUAGGAUGGUGAUAGCAGCAAUGAAGAAACUCAAGAGCCACGGUGCCGCUGGCAAGCUAGCUGUUCUGGAGAGCCUCAUGGGCUCGCUGUCGAGCGUUUCGGAGACCAUGCUGGAUCUCGAGGGCUGCAUGUUAUUUGCCAACAGGAUGAGCAAGACUAUGCGUGACACUGCAGAGACCCUCGAUUCCCUCAUGAAACAAGCACUGCAACUCCACAGAGAAAUUAAGGGCCAAGGCUCAGAAACAGUGGCAACUAGCUAG
rnacentral:rRNA from 1 species